rnacentral:rRNA from 1 species
GAUGAACGCUGGCGGCGUGCCUAAUACAUGCAAGUCGAGCGAACAGACGAGGAGCUUGCUCCUCUGACGUUAGCGGCGGACGGGUGAGUAACACGUGGAUAACCUACCUAUAAGACUGGGAUAACUUCGGGAAACCGGAGCUAAUACCGGAUAAUAUAUUGAACCGCAUGGUUCAAUAGUGAAAGACGGUUUUGCUGUCACUUAUAGAUGGAUCCGCGCCGCAUUAGCUAGUUGGUAAGGUAACGGCUUACAAAGGCAACGAUGCGUAGCCGACCUGGGAGGGUGAUCUGCCCCACUGGAACUGAGACACGGUCCAGACUCCUACGGGAGGCAGCAGUAGGGCCUAUUCCGCGAUGGGCGAAAGCUUGACGGAGCAACGCCGCGUGAGUGAUGAAGGUCUUCGGAUCGUAAAACUCUGUUAUUAGGAAAGAACAAAUGUGUAAGUAACUAUGCACAAAUUGACGGUACCUAAUCAGAAAGCCACGGCUAACUACGUG